UACAGAGGGUGCGAGCGUUGUCCGGAAUCACUGGGCGUAAAGGGCGCGUAGGCGGCCUGAUAAGUCGGGGGUGAAAUCCUGUGGCUCAACUGCAGGGCUGCCUCCUAGACUGUCGGGCUCGAGCACGGUAGAGGCAGAUGGAAUUCCCGGUGUAGCGGUGGAAUGCGUAGAGAUCGGGAAGAACAUCGGUGGCGAAGGCGGUCUGCUGGGCCGUUGCUGACGCUGAGGCGCGACAGCGUGGGGAGCGAACAGG
rnacentral:rRNA from 1 species